rnacentral:misc_RNA from 1 species
GAAAUGCGAUAAGUAAUGUGAAUUGCAGAAUUCAGUGAAUCAUCGAAUCUUUGAACGCACUUUGCGCUCCUUGGUAUUCCUUGGAGCAUGCCUGUUUGAGUAUCAUGAAAUCUUCAAAGUAAAUAUUUUGUUAACUCAAUUGGUUUCUACUUUGGUAUUGGAGGUCUUUGCAGCUUCACACCUGCUCCUCUUUGUUCAUUAGCUGGAUCUCAGUGUUAUGCUUGGUUCCACUCGGCGUGAUAAGUUAUCUAUCGCUGAGGACACUGUAAAAGGUGGCCAAGGUAAAUGCAGAUGAACCGCUUCUAAUAGUCCAUUGACUUGGACAAUACUUUUAUGAUCUGAUCUCAAAUCAGGUAGGACUACCCGCUGAACUUAAGC